GACGAACGCUGGCGGCGUGCCUAAUACAUGCAAGUUGAGCGCUGAAGGUUGGUACUUGUACCAACUGGAUGAGCAGCGAACGGGUGAGUAACGCGUGGGGAAUCUGCCUUUGAGCGGGGGACAACAUUUGGAAACGAAUGCUAAUACCGCAUAAAAACUUUAAACACAAGUUUUAAGUUUGAAAGAUGCAAUUGCAUCCCUCAAAGAUGAUCCCGCGUUGUAUUAGCUAGUUGGUGAGGUAAAGGCUCACCAAGGCGAUGAUACAUAGCCGACCUGAGAGGGCGAUCGGCCACAUUGGGACUGAGACACGGCCCAAACUCCUACGGGAGGCAGCAGUAGGGAAUCUUCGGCAAUGGACGAAAGUCUGACCGAGCAACGCCGCGUGAGUGAAGAAGGUUUUCGGAUCGUAAAACUCUGUUGGUAGAGAAGAACGUUGGUGAGAGUGGAAAGCUCAUCAAGUGACGGUAACUACCCAGAAAGGGACGGCUAACUACGUG
rnacentral:rRNA from 1 species